UCUCCGCCAUUACAUCUAUCGCGAAAAUCAGUGAAAACGUGUGUGUUCCACAAAGGGAUUACUUUUUCGAGACAGGAAGUAAAUUCAGCAAUUUUUCAUAGAACGGAAUGCCGCCAAAAACCAAUGCCGAAAGGCAAAAAGCUUACAGAGAACGACUUAAAAAGGAUAAACCAAGUAAAUAUGAGGAAAUCCGUGUCAAACAUUUGGAAAAAGUUAAAGAAAAUAUCAAAACGAAAAAAGCAAUUCUUACAGAAGAAGAAAAACAAGAGCUACGUGCAAAGUGGAGAC